rnacentral:rRNA from 1 species
AGAGUUUGAUCCUGGCUCAGGACGAACGCUGGCGGCGUGCCUAACACAUGCAAGUCGAACGGAGAAUUUUAUUUCGGUAGAAUUCUUAGUGGCGAACGGGUGAGUAACGCGUAGGCAACCUGCCCUUUAGACGGGGACAACAUUCCGAAAGGAGUGCUAAUACCGGAUGUGAUCAUCGUGCCGCAUGGCAGGAUGAAGAAAGAUGGCCUCUACAAGUAAGCUAUCGCUAAAGGAUGGGCCUGCGUCUGAUUAGCUAGUUGGUAGUGUAACGGACUACCAAGGCGAUGAUCAGUAGCCGGUCUGAGAGGAUGAACGGCCACAUUGGGACUGAGACACGGCCCAAACUCCUACGGGAGGCAGCAGUGGGGAAUCUUCCGCAAUGGACGAAAGUCUGACGGAGCAACGCCGCGUGAGUGAUGAAGGAUUUCGGUCUGUAAAGCUCUGUUGUUUAUGACGAACGUGCAGUGUGUGAACAAUGCAUUGCAAUGACGGUAGUAAACGAGGAAGCCACGGCUAACUACGUGCCAGCAGCCGCGGUAAUACGUAGGUGGCGAGCGUUGUCCGGAAUUAUUGGGCGUAAAGAGCAUGUAGGCGGCUUAAUAAGUCGAGCGUGAAAAUGCGGGGCUCAACCCCGUAUGGCGCUGGAAACUGUUAGGCUUGAGUGCAGGAGAGGAAAGGGGAAUUCCCAGUGUAGCGGUGAAAUGCGUAGAUAUUGGGAGGAACACCAGUGGCGAAGGCGCCUUUCUGGACUGUGUCUGACGCUGAGAUGCGAAAGCCAGGGUAGCGAACGGGAUUAGAUACCCCGGUAGUCCUGGCCGUAAACGAUGGGUACUAGGUGUAGGAGGUAUCGACCCCUUCUGUGCCGGAGUUAACGCAAUAAGUACCCCGCCUGGGGAGUACGACCGCAAGGUUGAAACUCAAAGGAAUUGACGGGGGCCCGCACAAGCGGUGGAGUAUGUGGUUUAAUUCGACGCAACGCGAAGAACCUUACCAAGUCUUGACAUCCUGCGACGGUGCUGGAAACA